ACCCGCUGAACUUAAGCUAUCAAUAAGCGGAGGAAAAGAAACCAACACGGGAUUGCCUUAGUAACGGCGAGUGAAGCGGCAACAGCUCAAAUUUGAAAUCUGGCCCUCGGGUCCGAGUUGUAAUUUGUAGAGGAUGCUUUUGGUGCGGUGCCUUCUGAGUUCCUUGGAACAGGACGCCUUAGAGGGUGAGAGCCCCGUACAGUUGGACACCAAGCCUCUGUAAAGCUCCUUCGACGAGUCGAGUAGUUUGGGAAUGCUGCUCUAAAUGGGAGGUAAAUUUCUUCUAAAGCUAAAUACUGGCCAGAGACCGAUAGCGCACAAGUAGAGUGAUCGAAAGAUGAAAAGUACUUUGAAAAGAGGGUUAAAUAGCACGUGAAAUUGUUGAAAGGGAAGCGUUUAUGACCAGACCUUCGUCGGGCGGAUCAUCCGGUGUUCUUCACCGGUGCACUUCGCCCGGCUUAGGCCAGCAUCGGUUUUCGUAGGGGGAUAAAAACUUAGGGAAUGUGGCUCUCUUCGGGGAGUGUUAUAGCCCUGGGUAUAAUACCCCUGCGGGGACCGAGGUUCGCGCUCCGGCAAGGAUGCUGGCGUAAUGGUCAUCAACGACCCGUCUUGAAACACGGACC
rnacentral:rRNA from 1 species